rnacentral:rRNA from 1 species
UACGGAGGGUGCAAGCGUUAUCCGGAUUCACUGGGUUUAAAGGGUGCGUAGGUGGGCAAGUAAGUCAGUGGUGAAAUCUCCGGGCUUAACCCGGAAACUGCCAUUGAUACUAUUUGUCUUGAAUACUGUGGAGGUCAGCGGAAUAUGUCAUGUAGCGGUGAAAUGCCUAGAUAUGACAUAGAACACCAAUUGCGAAGGCAGCUGGCUACACAAAUAUUGACACUGAGGCACGAAAGCGUGGGGAUCAAACAGG